CAUAAAUAUAAGCUCCAUCUAUUUUAGGUAUAUAAUUUUCAAAAAUAUGGUGUACGUUCUGACAUGGGAUCAGUUUGAAAAAAAAGUGGAGGAAAUCUUCAAUAAGAAUCCUAGCAAAACAAGGUUUACAAUAAAGUACAUUCAUAAGCUUGGUAAAGUUUGGUUUAAAGUUACAGAUGAUCUUGAAUGUUGGCAAUAUAAGACACGUUACCUACAAGAUUUUAAAAAAUAUGAAAAAUUAAACAAUAAUUUGCUCAGAUUAAUGUCAAAAGAUACAAAAUAAAUCCUCGUUUUUAUAUAGAUG